AUUGAACGCUGGCGGCAGGCCUAACACAUGCAAGUCGAACGCGUGGCGGACGGGUGAGUAAUGUCUGGGAAACUGCCCGAUGGAGGGGGAUAACUACUGGAACCGGUAGCUAAUCCCGCAUACCAUCGGAUGUGCCCAGAUGGGAUUAGCUAGUAGGUGGGGGAACGGCUCACCUAGGCGACGAUCCCUAGCUGGUCUGAGAGGAUGACCGGCCACACUGGAACUGAGACACGGUCCAGACUCCUACGGGAGGCAGCAGUGGGGAAUAUUCCGCAAUGGGCGAAAGCCUGAUGGAGCCAUGCCGCGUGUGUGAAGAAGGCCUUCGGGUUGUAAAGUACUUUCAGCGGGGAGGCGUUACUCGCAGAGAAAGCACCGGCUAACUCCGUGCCAGCAGCCGCGGUAAUAC
rnacentral:rRNA from 1 species